GGGGGAGCAUGGCGAGGAAGCGAUCCCCGAGGAGCGGAGCCCCGAGGAGCCGCAGCCGCUCCCAGUCGGGUGCGGCCGGUCCCGCACCCACCUGCGGGAGCUCCGCCGGAACGCGCGGGCGGAGCCGCGCCGGGCAGCGCCGGCUGUGACGUGACUCCGCCACGGGAAGGAAGCGACACAGGCUCGGGAAGCGCUCCCCGAGGGCGGAGGGGGCGGCCGAGGUCUAUCCUUCUGUGGGACAUGUGUCUAAAAUUCCCAGAGGAACUUGGAGGAGACAACUCCCAAAACUGGUACCAACGUGAACAGCAGCAGAGGAGAAGUGUGCUGAGCACAGACACAUCUGGCAAUGCCUCAGACAGAGCUCUGAGCAGCAUCUCCACAUUUUCUCUGCAAUCCUAUUUCCAUGAACUCCGAAGCUCUGAGAUAAAGCAAAGCUAUGACAGCCAACAACCAGUGGCAUCUAAUUGAACUUCAGGACACUGAAUUAUGAUGGAAGGAAUGUGGCAGUAUUUCCUAUUUCUGCUUUAUAGCCUGGCAGGCAUGUCUAGUCUUUCAGACUUCCAGCCCUUCCAGAAAAUGUAGCUGCUAAUACACACCAGUUGUUUUAAAUUGGAAGAACAUCCCCUUAAGUGUUUAAACUGAAUUUGAAAUACAAAAGAAGUAAUCCCAAAUCCCAAUUAUAUUUUGAAAAAGUAAAGAAAACACCAAAUCUUUGAGGAGGGUUGAUUAAAUCCUCCACCCUUUUAAAUGUUAAAGGAUGUUAUAUUUAAGAUGUGAGCUAAACAUGAGGGAUCUCUGAUGACUCCCAGUGCAGCUGGCAGGGCAGCAUUUGGUGCCAGGUAGGUGUAAUAGGGAAUGGAGUACUUUUCUGUGGAGGGCUGGGACACCUUUAUAUUUCUUGUAACUUGUUACAAUUUGUAAAUCAUGUAACUGUUAAUGCAUUUUGGCCAUCAUAUAUUCGCGUUCUUCAGACGUCUCUUCCAAGGAAGCUAGUUGAUGAGGUCCUGUUCUGGAUUUUUAAAGUCCAGCAGUUUAGUUUCUCCUUUUGUGGUUUGUUUAUUUCCUAGAUUCUUGAAGUGGUGCAAUUAGGGCUGAGGAAGAACCAGAUAUGGUGGGACAGAUGCAAGCUGUCAUAGAGUCAUCAGGAAGUAGAGAUAGUUUCUGGCAGCACACAGGAACACUGCCCAGGAGGUACAGGAGGGUUUUCCACAAUUACUGAGGUGGCAGAGGUUGGCUGCAAGUCUUACCAUGACCCCUGUGUUUUGUAACUUGAGUUUAAUCUUUGGCACAAACUUUUGUCUCUCUUUAGUCUGUUCAAAACUGCCAGUUACAUGGGAACAGAAAAAUUCCACACAUGCAGACUUUGGUCAGAAAUCAGACUGCAGUCUGCUCCCUCAGCUGCAGAAGUUUAGCAAAAUUACCUACAUUGCUAGGUAGUAAGUGAAAGAACAUUUCUCUCAAUUGCAAAAUUACCUGCAUUUUCUUCCAGGUGUGAAAUUUAAGCUAGUGAAAAGCUGCUUUUCUGCAAUGGUCAAUGCUGACUGUAAUAUUACACACAUAUUUUUUUAGGUAAGAACUAACAAUACUUUUGUACUACUUUCACACAUUAAAACUAAGUUUAGAUUGGUUUAGAAAGAAUGUUUUAGAAUCGUGCUUUUAGCUGAUUGGAUGUUUUACAAAUAAAAACACCCUGUUUUAAGGUGUUUGUUAUGAA
ensembl:lncRNA